CGGUCGCAGUGAAAUGGGGGUUGUGACUGUUUACUAAAAACCUAGCACUCUGCGAAGUCGAAAGACGACGUAUAGGGUGUGAUGCCUGCCCGGUGCUGGAAGGUUAGGGGAAAGGUCAGCGCAAGCGAAGCUUUGAACCGAAGCCCCAGUAAACGGCGGCCGUAACUAUAACGGUCCUAAGGUAGCGAAAAUUCCCUUGUCGGGUAAGUUCCGACCUGCACGAAUGGCAUAACAACAUCCCCGCUGUCUCGACCACGGACUCAGCGAAAUUGUACUGGGGGUGAAGAUACCCUCUACCCGCAGCAAGACGGAAAGUACCCCAUGAACCUUUACUGCAACUUGGCAGUGAGUUUCGGGUUGUUCUGCGUAGGAUAGGUGGGAGGCAGUGAGAACGGGGCUUCUGGGUUCGUUUUAGCCAACGUUGAAAUACCACCCUGAACAAUCUGGGAUUCUAAACCUGCGGAAGUCAGCCUUCCGAGGGACACUGCCUGGCAGGCAGUUUGACUGGGGCGGUCGCCUCCUAAACUGUAACGGAGGCGUGCGAAGGUUCCCUCAGCCCGAUUGGAAACCGGGC
rnacentral:rRNA from 1 species